rnacentral:rRNA from 1 species
UGCCUGGCGGCCGUAGCGCGGUAGUCCCACCUGACCCCAUGCCGAACUCAGAAGUGAAACGCCGUAGCGCCGAUGGUAGUGUGGGGUCUCCCCAUGCGAGAGUAGGGAACUGCCAGGCAU